rnacentral:rRNA from 1 species
GACGAACGCUGGCGGCGUGCUUAACACAUGCAAGUCGAGCGGGGACUUGGGGCUUCGGCCUCGGGUUCUAGCGGCGGACGGGUGAGUAACGCGUGAACAAUCUGUCCCAGACGGGGGGAUAACACUUGGAAACAGGUGCUAAUACCGCAUAAGACCACGAGAGGACAUCCUCUUGAGGUAAAAGGAGCAAUCCGGUCUGGGGUGAGUUCGCGUCCGAUUAGCUAGUUGGUGAGGUAACGGCCCACCAAGGCGACGAUCGGUAGCCGACCUGAGAGGGUGAUCGGCCACAUUGGAACUGAGAAACGGUCCAAACUCCUACGGGAGGCAGCAGUGGGGAAUAUUGGGCAAUGGGCGAAAGCCUGACCCAGCAACGCCGCGUGAAGGAAGAAGGUUUUCGGAUUGUAAACUUCUGUCCUAAGUGAAGAAGGAAGUGACGGUAGCUUAGGAGGAAGCCCCGGCUAACUACGUGCCAGCAGCCGCGGUAACAC